GUACAUAAAAUGAUAUUUUUACUAAAAUAUUAAAUUCGAAAAAGAAAUUUAAGACAAAAACAUUUUAGCCAACAACAUAUUCAUUGUAGGAUCAAAAACAUUAAUGCAAGAAACUUAAAACAAGGAAUCAAAAGUCUAGAACAAGCAAUCAAACUUAUUUUAUAUGAUCCACCAUUAAAAUUUUAGAAUAUGAUAAACAAGCAAUCAAAUAUUAAGUGCACAAUUUUAGAUUCACUAUACAAGAGCUGAGAACGAGAAAGCUAUCACAUCAGAUGGCUUGGUACAAUUAAUUAGACCGUGUUGCAGUACCUCUCUGGCAUCAACUUCGCUUGUAAAUUUCUAUAAGCUGUCACUUCAAUGGCCUUCAUCAACUUGCAGCUCUAAUCUAAAUUGUACAAAACCAAUUGAUAACAAAUUCACAAUCCACAGAUUGUGGGCUCAUAAUGCUAAUGACAAAUCAAUGUCUCGUUAUGAUUCAAGUAAUCCAUACACCGUUGGAUAGGUGCAAGGAUUGUUUGGAUCAUAAGAGAGCAUUGGUUUGUUCUUAGAAUUAUGUGUCCAUAUACCAUGGAUCUUGAACUCAUUAAGGAUUGGUGGUGUACAACUCAGACUAAAGCUAUAGGCUAAUAAAGGCCAUUGAAGAAAAAGCUUACGAAAAUUACAAGCGAAGUUGAUGCCGGUAGGGGUGCUGCAAAUGCUGCUCAAAAUGAAAAGAGAAGAACAAGAGGAGUACUCUCUCUCUCUCUCUAUAUAUAUAAGUAUAUACUCUUCUCCAUGCUGCACAUUAUUGCAAAAAAAGAAAACACACAAGGGACCAAUCUUAGAUCUUCACAAAGGUCAUUUGAGAUCAAAGGAGAAGAACAAGAAAAACAAAGGUGAGGGGUUUGAAGAAAG
rnacentral:lncRNA from 1 species